GCAUUACCAGAAAUUGGUGUCAUUGUGAGGUUACGCUUGAAUAAUUGUGGUUUUAAUAUCACACACAUCCAAAUAUAUGUACAAUCACAUUUUGUCAGUGGGUGCAUGUGUUUUUCGGAGAUUGUACUAUUUUGCGCAUCAACAUCGGCGCAUCGCAUCCCAUUCAUGUAAAGAAAGACUAAUUUCUCAAUUUUGUGCACAACAAUCUUGAUUAGCAUCAUCAUAACGAUGAAAAUGUCUUUAAUAUAGACUAGGCAAAUACAUUUUGUAUGCAAAUACGAAUCUCCCCUUUGUUUUAAACAUCGACACCGAGUAUGUUAUGGAAAGAACAUAUACACGGGAACAGCACAUGUAAACAGUCGCCAAUUAAGACAAGUCUCUAUCAUGGAAAAUAUUGUCAGCAGGCAAAGCUAGACAGCAGCAGCAGCAGAAAGUUCAUUGGAAGUAUAAACGAACAGUUUUGUUGUUGAUACGCACUUUGACAAUGAUGUUUUGAUUUGCCAGAAAAAAAUCAGAGACGGUAUCGACGCGCCAUCUGCACGUAUGAUUGGAUUGACAGCUGCACUUUUGAAACGAUGAUUUCUGAAACAC